rnacentral:rRNA from 1 species
GCGGAAGGAUCAUUACUGAAGUGCUUGGAGAUGUCGCUGGCUUUCUCUCUGUGGGGGAAGCAACGUGCACUCUUCCAACCUCUCACAAUUUCCUUCACCCCUUGUGCACUCUCCGUAGGGGGGGUAUACCUUUUCCAGGCUUGUAUCCUGGGAGGGAAAAGCACCCCUAUGUUGUUUUCUACUGCACGCGCAUGGAUUUGAAUGUAUGGCAAAUAAAGCAAACAUGAGACAACUUUCAACAAUGGAUCUCUUGGCUCUCGCAUCGAUGAAGAACGCAGCGAAAUGCGAUACGUAAUGUGAAUUGCAGAAUUCCGUGAAUCAUUGAAUCUUUGAACGCAUCUUGCGCCUCUUGGUAUCCCGAGGGGCAUGCCUGUUUGAGUGUCAUUGAAAUAUUCAAAGGCCUUCCGAGGGUUGGCUUUUUGGACUUUGAGGGUUUGUGCUGGCUUGAUUUAACACGAGCCUUAGCUCCCUUCAAAUGGAUUAGCGGUGGCGGAUUCCUUUUCGAGCUGGCUUCUGGCGUUGAUAGACCUUCAUAUGCCUGGGAACCAAGCCGGUUAAGGGGGGUGGCUGCCGCUUACAACAGUCCUCUUGAAAUGGACAACAAUGACAAACUUGACCUCAAA